rnacentral:ncRNA from 2 species
AAUUUCAUAGGAGUUUUGUGGUGAGAUUGCGUUUAUGUGAUCUCUUUAAAGGAAUCCGGUGAGAAUCCGGAACAGUUAUUCCCUGCUGUAUGGGGGACGAAAAAGAUUAUUUGCCACUGGUUAGUCAAACUGGGAAGGCAUCUUGAGUAGGAGGAACCCAAGUCAGAACACAAACACAAAACCGGUUUAUCAG